AUGCUGCUCCAUCCAUCGAGGGAGAUGUUCAUCGGAGAUUUAAAGAACGCCGAUGCAAAGGCGUGGAUCCAGAUCGAGCACACACAGAGAGAGGAUGAGGAGGAUCCGGAGGCGCUCAUGUGGGGAAGGAGGGGUGGGACUCGACGGAGUUGGUCGGCUGAUAAAAAGCGGUGGCGGCAAAGUAUGAGGACAGAGAGGAGUUGGGGGGAAGGUGCGGCGCCGGUGUCGAGUGUCGCCGAUGGUGGAAAGCAGCAGGGUGGGGACAGCGCACGGCGGAGGGGAUGUGCCGAGCGGUGGCAGCAGAGGGGCGGCGACGGUGGCCGGCGAUGGUGGUGGAAAGUAGCAGGGGUGGGGGCGGCGCACGGCAGAGGGACGGUGCCGAGCGGUGGCCGGCGGUGGCGAAGAGGCGGGGGCCGGUUGCAGCGGCGCAUGUCAAGGGUCGGCGGGGCGCUGGAGCGUGGAGAUGGGAGGUAG
rnacentral:rRNA from 1 species